GACCCUUUCGGGGUUAGUGGCGACGGGGUGAGUAACACGUGGGAACGUGCCUUAGGUUCGGAAUAGCUCCUGGAAACGGGUGGUAAUGCCGAAUGUGCCCUUCGGGGGAAAGAUUUAUCGCCUUUAGAGCGGCCCGCGUCUGAUUAGCUAGUUGGUUGGGGUAAUGGCCCACCAAGGCUACGAUCAGUAGCUGGUCUGAGAGGAUGACCAGCCACAUUGGGACUGAGACACGGCCCAAACUCCUACGGGAGGCAGCAGUGGGGAAUCUUGCGCAAUGGGCGAAAGCCUGACGCAGCCAUGCCGCGUGUAUGAUGAAGGUCUUAGGAUUGUAAAAUACUUUCACCGGUGAAGAUAAUGACUGUAGCCGGAGAAGAAGCCCCGGCUAACUUCGUGCCAGCAGCCGCGGUAAUACGAAGGGGGCUAGCGUUGCUCGGAAUUACUGGGCGUAAAGGGAGCGUAGGCGGACAUUUAAGUCAGAGGUGAAAUCCCGGAGCUCAACUCCGGAACUGCCUUUGAUACUGGGUGUCUUGAGUGUGAGAGAGGUAUGUGGAACUCCGAGUGUAGAGGUGAAAUUCGUAGAUAUUCGGAAGAACACCAGUGGCGAAGGCGACAUACUGGCUCAUUACUGACGCUGAGGCUCGAAAGCGUGGGGAGCAAACAGGAUUAGAUACCCUGGUAGUCCACGCCGUAAACGAUGAUUGCUAGUUGUCGGGGAGUUUACUUCUCGGUGACGCAGCUAACGCAUAAGCAUCCGCCUGGA
rnacentral:rRNA from 1 species